CCCUUAGAUGUUCUGGGCUGCACACGUGCUACACUGGCAGGUUCAGCGAGCUUCAUGCCCUGAUCUGAAAGGAAUGGGAAAUCUUUUCAAAACCUGCCGUGCUUGGGAUAGAUGUUUGCAAUUAUUCAUCUUCAACGAGGAUUGCCUUGUAAGCGCACGUCAUCAGCGUGCAUUGAAUACGAUCCUGUAUUCUGUACACACCGCCCGUCGCUCCUACCGAUUGAAGUUUUCGGUGAGUUGACAGGAGGAUUUUUUUGAAACUGGUUCGCCAGUGGAUUUUAGAUCCAAAUGCCAACGAAUCGAUGGCUUUAGAGGAAGGAGAAGUCGUAACA
rnacentral:rRNA from 1 species